rnacentral:rRNA from 1 species
AUCACCCAGGCGAGAACCCUGAGGGCCGAAGUGGAGAAGGGUUUCUCGAGAACGGCACUCGCUCGAGAGUUAGUCGAUCCUAAGCUGCCGGCGGCAGCCACGAAACGGUCGAUCGGGCGCGAGCCCGGCAGCCACGACCGGGCAGCGAAAGGGAAUUGGGAACCUCCUUCCCAAACCCGGAACCGGAACGAGGGCGGCGACGCGAACGAAACGGCCGCGGAGACGGCGGCCGCGGCCCCGGAGAGAGUUCUCUUUUCUGUGCGACUGGACGUCGGCCCCGGAAUCGCGUCGAGCGGAGGGGGGGUCGGAGUUCAGGAAUAGCACCCCGGCCUUUCGGGGUGUCCGGGGCGGCCGCGGUCGUCCCAUGAAAAUCCGCGGAUGAACGAGUAGGCGACGGUCCGGGUCGUACCAAUGACCGCAUCGGGUCUCCAAGGUUG